UACGUAGGGGGCAAGCGUUGUCCGGAUUUAUUGGGCGUAAAGAGCGUGUAGGCGGUUUGGUAGGUCCGUUGUGAAAACUCGAGGCUCAACCUCGAGACGCCGAUGGAAACCAUCAGACUAGAGUCCGGAAGAGGAGAGUGGAAUUCCUGGUGUAGCGGUGAAAUGCGCAGAUAUCAGGAGGAACACCGAUGGCGAAGGCAGGUCACUGGGCCGCAACCGACGCUGAGGCGCGAAAGCUGGGGGAGCAAACGGG
rnacentral:rRNA from 1 species